rnacentral:rRNA from 1 species
GGAGUUAGCCGGUGCUUCUUCUGUGAGUGAUGUCCUUCCUGCCGGCUAUUAACCCGCAGGCCUUCUUCCUCACUGAAAGUGCUUUACAACCCGAAGGCCUUCUUCACACACGCGGCAUGGCUGGAUCAGGGUUGCCCCCAUUGUCCAAUAUUCCCCACUGCUGCCUCCCGUAGGAGUCUGGGCCGUGUCUCAGUCCCAGUGUGGCUGAUCAUCCUCUCAGACCAGCUACGGAUCGUCGCCUUGGUGAGCCGUUACCUCACCAACCAGAUAAUCCGACAUAGGCUCAUCCGAUAGCGCGAGGCCCGAAGGUCCCCCGCUUUCCCCCGUAGGGCGUAUGCGGUAUUAGCCUGGGUUUCCCCAGGUUAUCCCCCACUACCGGGCAGAUUCCUAUGCAUUACUCACCCGUCCGCCGCUCGCCACCAGGGAGCAAGCUCCCCGUGCUGCCGCUCGACUUGCAUGUGUUAGGCCUGCCGCCAGCGUUCAAUCUGAGCCAUAAUCAAACUCUGA